UUUGGCUGCGGCACGUGGCCGUGUCUAUCUAACAGGCGUCACCAAGUUCCGUUCCCCAAAGGAGGAGUACGAAAAGCGUUUGAUUGUUCCAGAGUUUAUGAACAGGAAUCCUAUGUAUUUCGUGUAAGAAGAAAAGUACACAGUUACUCUUUAGCCAAUAAUUUUUCAAUUCAAAUAUGAUUAUUUUUUGUCAAUUUUAAUUGUAUCACAUUUUCUGAACCGUAAUCAUAUGUAUAUCUCAUGUAUUGAGGGCACACUCUGCUGCUUUCAUUAGGAGCUCCGAUGUGAAGUGAAAAAUAAAAAUAAGAAAAGAA